CCAUAUUCUCCUGUGAUGCACUUCUGAUACACCUUGGAAAGCAUCCACGAGGAGGAACACAUGAAGAACACAGUUUCUUGAAAAUUAAGAUCUGUUGAUAUAUCAGACAUGCAUGUCCCGAUCACAAAGAUCUGUGGAAAUUCAUAACCAUAUCGACCCUGAAGGACCUAUAAAAACAGAGAAUGAGACUUCCUUGACCCCAGUUUUGCCAAUGCGAGCUCAUGUGCUUAAUUCUUCAGCGAUGAAAGGCCAGCGAAAUCAGA